rnacentral:rRNA from 1 species
AUUGAACGCUGGCGGAAUGCUUUACACAUGCAAGUCGAACGGCAGCACGGACUUCGGUCUGGUGGCGAGUGGCGAACGGGUGAGUAAUGUAUCGGAACGUGCCCAGUCGUGGGGGAUAACGUAGUGAAAAUUACGCUAAUACCGCAUACGAACUAUGGAUGAAAGCGGGGGAUCGCAAGAACUCGCGCGAUUGGAACGGCGGAUAACAGAUUAGGUAGGUGGUGGGGUAAAGGCCCACCAAGCCAACGAUCUGUAGCUGGUCUGAGAGGACGACCAGCCACACUGGAACUGAGACACGGUCCAGACUCCUACGGGAGGCAGCAGUGGGGAAUUUUGGACAAUGGGCGAAAGCCUGAUCCAGCCAUUCCGCGUGCAGGAUGAAGGCCCUCGGGUUGUAAACUGCUUUUGUACGGAACGAAAAGGUUUCUACUAAUACUAGGAGCUCAUGACGGUACUGUAAGAAUAAGCACCGGCUAACUACGUGCCAGCAGCCGCCGCGG